UACGAAGGGGGCUAGCGUUGUUCGGAAUCACUGGGCGUAAAGGGCGCGUAGGCGGCUUUAUAAGUCGGGGGGUGAAAGCCUGUGGCUCAACCACAGAAUUGCCUUCGAUACUGUAUGGCUUGAGACCGGAAGAGGUAAGUGGAACUGCGAGUGUAGAGGUGAAAUUCGUAGAUAUUCGCAAGAACACCAGUGGCGAAGGCGGCUUACUGGUCCGGUUCUGACGCUGAGGCGCGAAAGCGUGGGGAGCAAACAGG
rnacentral:rRNA from 1 species